CCCUUAGAUGUUCUGGGCCGCACGCGCGCUACACUGAUGCACUCAACGAGUCUAAAACCUGGUCUGAUAGGGCUGGGUAAUCUUUUGAAAGUGCAUCGUGAUUGGGAUAGAUGAUUGCAAUUCUUCAUCUUCAACGAGGAAUGCCUAGUAAACGCAAGUCAUCAGCUUGCAUUGAUUACGUCCCUGCCCUUUGUACACACCGCCCGUCGCUCCUACCGAUUGAAUGAUCCGAUGAAUACCAUGGAUUGAGAGUACGAAUGGGUUCGCUCAUUUCUGCUGCUCGAGAAGUGGAGUAAAUCUUAUCAUUUAGAGGAAGGAGAAGUCGUAACA
rnacentral:rRNA from 1 species